rnacentral:rRNA from 1 species
GACGAACGCUGGCGGCGUGCCUAAUACAUGCAAGUCGAACGCAGUGGGGACGGGUGAGUAACACGUGGGAAACAUCCCAUCAGAGGGGAUAACACUUGGAAACAGGUGCUAAACCGAUACUGAUGGAUGGACCCGCGGUGCAUGAGAUAGUUGGGGGGGUACCGGCUCACCAAGGCCACGCUGCAAAGCCGACCUGGUAGGGUGCUCUGACACACUGGGACGGAGACACGGCCCAGACUCCUACGGGAGGCAGCAGUAGGGAAUCUUCGGCAAUGGACGAAAGUCUGACCGAGCAACGCCGCGUGAGUGAAGAAGGUUUUCGGAUCGUAAAACUCUGUUGUUAGAGAAGCGGUAUCUAACCAGAAAGCCACGGCUAACUACGUGCCAGCAGCCGCGGUAAUUC